GUAUGCAAGAUAAUUUUGGGUGGUGCAGGGUGAAUAAUUUCAAUUGACAUAAAAAUGUGUUUAUCUUACUGGGUAAAUCAGGGGUCCCCACCUGUUAGGAACCAGGCUGCACAGCAGGAGGUGAGCAGCCAGCCAGGGAGCAAAGCUUCAUCUGUAGAAACAGCUGCUCCCCAUCCCUCACAUUACCGCAUGAGCUCUGCCACCUGUCACAUGAGUGGUGCCGUUACAUUCUCAUAGAACCCAACUGUGAACUCAGCAUGCCAAGAAUCCAGAUUGCGUGCUCCUUAUGAGAACCUAAUGCCUGAUGAUCUGUGACUAUCUCCCAUCACCUCCUGAUGGGACCAUGUAGUUGCAGGAAAACAAGCUCAGGGCUCCCACUGAUUCUAUAUUAUGGUCCGUGGAAGAGUUGUCUUCAAGAAAACUGCUCUCUGGUGCCAAAAAGUUUGGGGACCGCUGGUGAAAACGUUUCUAAGAAUAGUCAAGCAACUUAAGCUUUACAUGCUACGAAGUAUACAGGUUUAAAUGCUAAUAAAAAUAGGUGCAAAUGAAAA